rnacentral:rRNA from 1 species
UACAGAGGGUGCAAGCGUUAAUCGGAGUUACUGGGCGUAAAGGGCGCGUAGGCGGUCAUGUAAGUGAGAUGUGAAAUCCCUGGGCUUAACCUAGGAACGGCAUCUUAAACUGUGUGACUGGAGUACUGUAGAGGGUAGUGGAAUUUCCGGUGUAGCGGUGAAAUGCGUAGAGAUCGGAAGGAACACCAGUGGCGAAGGCGGCUACCUGGACAGAUACUGACGCUGAGGCGCGAGAGCGUGGGGAGCAAACAGG